rnacentral:rRNA from 1 species
GAUGAACGCUGACAGAAUGCUUAACACAUGCAAGUCUACCAAGAAUCACUUCGGUGAGGAAUGGUGGCGGACGGGUGAGUAACGCGUAAAUAAUCUGCCCUUUAGACUGGGAUAUCCUUUGGAAACGAAGGUUAAUACCGGAUAUUAUGAGAUGGACGCAUGUUCAACUUAUGAAAGCUAAAUGCAAUAGAGGAGGAGGUUGCGUCCCAUUAGCUAGUUGGUGAGGUAAAGGCUCACCAAGGCCACGAUGGGUAGCCGGCCUGCGAGGGUGAACGGCCACAAGGGAACUGAGACACGGUCCUUACUCCUACGGGAGGCAGCAGUGGGGAAUAUUGGACAAUGGACCAAAAGUCUGAUCCAGCAAUUCUGUGUGCACGAUGAAGGUCUUCGGAUUGUAAAGUGCUUUCAGUAGGGAAGAAAAAAAUGACGGUACCUACAGAAGAAGCGACGGCUAAAUAUGUGCCAGCAGCCGCCGUAAUAC